ACAACAACAUUCAGACCGUCGGUCUACCGAGCAAUAUCACCCGCUCUGUGGAAGAUCUUUCUUUUGUCGUAUACC
rnacentral:pre_miRNA from 1 species